ACAGCUAGAAACAGAUAGGUCAGCUUCUCCCAUCACCUCUGUUAGCAGAUCUGAUUCGUAGGGGAAGCCCAGCUGGAGCCAAAGCUCCUCUCAGUGCUCAAAAACUCUCCAUCCCAUUGCCCGUGGUGGGCUCCAAGGGAACUGGGCUGAAGUCAGCUUUUUGCACAGCAACUUUGAGAAGGCAGCUUGGGAUAAAUGGCAGCUGGAGCUGCCGUGGUGACAUGAUGGGAGUAAUGAUACCAGCCUGCUCGGUGCCCACCUUCACUCAGCACCAAGCAAUUCUCCUUUGCCUCCAUUAAAUUUAAGAUUGUAAAUGAAGAAAAAUGAACUCUGCUUUCCAGGUUCCUGGAGAUGGAUGGCAACGCAUUCAGGCUGGCAUUUAGCUAUUUCAGUUGUUUACAAUGGAUGCCUCUUAUAAAUACCCCGUUUCUGAUUGAGAAGUCUUUUCUAAAGGUUUGCUUAAUUUUUCACUUCAAAGUCAAUCUUUAAAAACCUCUCUGCCAUUAUCGAGCCUGCAAUGGUUUCAUCCUAAUCCCUCUCAUGCUCUCCAUUCUUAUCCUUUGCUGAGAAGAAAUGAUUAGAAAAAAAAGAAUUCUGACACAGAACUCGGAUCCAGUGCUGAAAGAUAAGCAGUUCCAAAAGGAAAUGAUGAAUUUCAAUUUCAAGCAUUGGUUAAUAUCGCAGUUCUCGUAGAUAUUUCCCUACUAUAGAUUGAACAAAGUAUAUUAGCUAAAAGGGCUUCUCCUGAAGUCGUGUUGCACGCUUUUCUAAGGCUCCCUCACUCUGAAUUUCGCCCUUAUAAGUAUUGUCUCUCUAUGGAAAUGAACAUCUUUGUGAUUUAAGUUAAAUCAAAAGCAGGCCUUGAAAAUUUCCAGUGGAUGAGAAAGCUGCAGGUGAACUUAGGUUGAAGGUUCCAACCUGGGUGUCUGAUGACUGUUCUAAUGAUCUGCCUGCUUUACCAGCUAGCAUUCGGACUUCUCAUAGCUGUACUCACAGCAAGAUUGAAUGAGGAUGCACGAGUGGUCCUGGGCACUUAACUCUGCAAACUCAACAGCCUUUCAGUGCAGUUCCCAUCAAAGUAGGUUUGUAUUACCUGGAAAGAUUUGUCCGGGGGUUCGGUCGGAACUCUCUGGUCUAAUGCAGUGAACUGACCCAGGACAAUUUGGGUGGGAAUGCACUUGGGGAGUUUUGCUUGGUCAGCAUCUGCAGCUGGAGGUCCUUGAAUCAAGAAUCAUAGAAAACUAUGUGAGCAAAACUGAGAUGCAGUUUAACAGAUAGAUUUUAAGGUUAGUCAGAUGGAGAAAGGUGCUGCCUGUUUACACUGUGGCCAUUUCAAUCUAUUUUUAAGGUGAAAAAAUAGCAUCUGUGGCAGCAUGCAGUCCCAACACACAGCCAUGAGCUGUGCAUGCAGAACAGGACGCAUUGAUUAACACAAAGAAUUGAAUGCACUGGGAAUGCUAACCCUAGAAUUGGAGGUCCCGGGGUCUCCCAGGGGUUCCCUUCUCCCUCUCUCCAUUACCUGCUGGACAUUAACCUGGAAUUAAUGCCUGCAAAUAGCCAGUGGACAAACCCAGUGCUGCUGGACUGCUUAUGUGCUGCUCAAUAGAGAAACAGCCACAGGGACAAGUGGAGUCCCCCUUGGUCCUGUUCAGGUGGCAGCAGAGCUCUGCCCAAACCACUGUCACCUGUCCAGUGACACCACUGGAAUCAUUUCUAUGGGAUCAUGCCCUGCUGCCACUUUAUUUGUGGCUCUGACCAUGAAGACACUUCCAUCAAGCCACGUUCAGAAGAGCUGUGCCAAUGGGGGUUGAAUAUCAGUGAUCAGGACAUCCAGCCUUGGCUAUGGAAGAUUAAGUUCCAAGUCCCCAAAUCAAUAAGGGCUUUAUAUCUGCCACAUGGAGCUGCUUCAGCAGGAGAUAUGGGAAGAGAUGAUUCCCGUGUCCUUCUUGAUCAAGAUAGCACAUCCCCAAUUCUGAUCAAACUUCAUCCCAAAGUUAUCUUUUCUCAAACGAAUUGUCAGAAUAACCCAUUUCCAUCAUUUGGAUGAAUCCUAAACAUCUGAUUUUUAGAAGGCGUC
rnacentral:lncRNA from 1 species